rnacentral:rRNA from 1 species
GACGAACGCUGGCGGCGUGCCUAAUACAUGCAAGUCGAACGCAGUGGGGCCGGGUGAGUAACACGUGGGUAACCUCCCAUCAGAGGGGAUAACACUUGGAAACAGGUGCUAAACCGAUACUGAUGGAUGGACCCGCGGUGCAUUAGCUAGUUGGUGCUGUAACGGCUCACCAAGGCACCGAUGCAUAGCCGACCUGAUGGGUGGAUCGGCCACACUGGGACGUAGACCCGGCCCAGACUCCUACGGGAGGCAGCAGUAGGGAAUCUUCGGCAAUGGACGAAAGUCUGACCGAGCAACGCCGCGUGAGUGAAGAUGGUUUUCGGAUCGUAAAACUCUUUUGUGAGAGAAGCGGUAUCUAACCAGAAAGCCACGGCUAACUACGUGCCAGCAGCCGCGGUAAUUC